CAGUACCGAAACUGGGAACCGAUGUUCCUCUGGAACCAGCAUGAAAACUCCACAAAAUCCCUAGUUUGUCUCCACAGUGUUCUUAUUCCAAGUGUGCUGAGAGAAAAGGCCAGACAUGGAUACCUUAAUUUUGUAAAACAGAAAGGUAAACAUAACUGUCAUUUUAAAAUGUCCGUUUCAAGAAUAUCCUGGAGGCAGAUGCAUCUUAAAUAUGAAAAUCAAAGCAGACACUUCAGAAGGGAAUGCAGCUUCAGCGGGAACUCUAAGAAUUUCCUGAGAAUUGACCAAAGAGAAGAUGCCACCGAAGACACACAGGCAACGUGUUUCCUGAGUAUUGACCACAGAGGAGGCGUCACCUAAGACACAGGCAACGUCUCCAUUAAACUCGGCCUCUGAGAAACUUGUCUGUAUCCUGGUCACCCAGUGUCUGCCCGUCUGUCUUCCUCCAUCCCUUACAUUCCCUUGACCCUGUUGACUUUGCCUGCCUGGUUUUCCAUUUACUUCCGGAGGCAUUGCACUGUUUUUUAAAGAGCAACGAUUCUGCCGCAACACUUCUAGAGAAAGGCAAUCAGACUCUGGUCUUCAUAGUUAUAAUUCUGUUGCCCAGC
rnacentral:lncRNA from 1 species